rnacentral:tRNA from 1 species
GGGCAUAUAGCUCAGUUGGUUAGAGUGCUUGCUUGACAUGCAAGAGGUCCGUGGUUCGAAUCCACGUAUGCCCA